rnacentral:rRNA from 1 species
UACAGAGGUCUCAAGCGUUGUUCGGAAUCACUGGGCGUAAAGGGUGCGUAGGCGGGUCUUUAAGUCAGGGGUGAAAUCCUGGAGCUCAACUCCAGAACUGCCUUUGAUACUGGCGACCUUGAGUCCGGGAGAGGUGAGUGGAACUGCGAGUGUAGAGGUGAAAUUCGUAGAUAUUCGCAAGAACACCAGUGGCGAAGGCGGCUCACUGGCCCGGUACUGACGCUGAGGUGCGAAAGCGUGGGGAGCAAACAGG